rnacentral:rRNA from 1 species
UGGGGAAUUUUGCACAAUGGGGGAAACCCUGAUGCAGCGACGCCGCGUGAUUUAGAAGGCCUUCGGGUUGUAAAAAUCUUUUUUAUGGGAUGAAAAUGACAGUACCAUAAGAAUAAGGUCCGGCUAAAUACGUGCCAGCAGCCGCGGUAAUACGUAUGGACCGAGCGUUGUCCGGAAUCAUUGGGCGUAAAGGGUACGUAGGCGGCCCAGUAAGUUAGAAGUGAAAUAAUAUAGCUCAACUAUAUAAAGCUUUUAAAACUGCUAGGCUUGAGAGAUGGAAGGGAAAGUGGAAUUCCAUGUGUAGCGGUGAAAUGCGUAGAUAUAUGGAGGAACACCAGUGGCGAAGGCGACUCUCUGGUCUGUAACUGACGCUGAGGCUCGAAAGCGUGGGUAGCAAACAGG